rnacentral:lncRNA from 1 species
CCACUCCGCCACCGGUUUCUACUCCUCCUCCCACUUCAUCACCGCCCCCAGUGACAGCUUCUCCACCCCCAGUUUCAACUCCUCCACCCAGUUCUCCUCCUCCUGCAACUCCACCACCUGCUUCUCCUCCUCCUGCAACUCCACCUCCAGCUUCUCCACCUCCUGCCACUCCUCCACCAGCUUCUCCACCUCCCGCCACUCCACCACCUGCAACCCCACCGCCAGCAACUCCUCCUCCUGCUACCCCACCACCAGCUCCAUUGGCUUCUCCUCCAGCCACAGUCCCAGCUAUCUCUCCAGUACAAACACCAUUGACAUCGCCACCAGCUCCGCCGACCGAGGCCCCAGCACCUACCCUCGGGG